rnacentral:rRNA from 1 species
UAAAUCUAUGCGCUUAACGUAUAGGCCGCCGAAAAUACUGGACAGCUAGGGAGUGGGAGAGGUACACGGUACUCAAUAGGAAGGGGUAAAAUCCUUUGAUCUAUUGAUGACCACCUGUGGCGAAGGCGGUGUACCAGAACACGUUCGACGGUGAGGGAUGAAAGCUGUGGGAGCAAACCGGAUUAGAUACCCGGGUAGUCCCAGCUGUAAACGAUGCAGACUCGGUGAUGCAUUGGCUUGUGGCCAAUGCAGUGCCGCAGGGAAGCCGUUAAGUCUGCCGCCUGGGAAGUACGUACGCAAGUAUGAAACUUAAAGGAAUUGGCGGGGGAGCACCACAAGGGGUGAAGCCUGCGGUUCAAUUGGAGUCAACGCCAGAAACCUUACCCGGGGCGACAGCAGAAUGAAGGUCAAGCUGAAGACUUUACCAGACAAGCUGAGAGGUGGUGCAUGGCCGUCGCCAGCUCGUGCCGUGAGAUGUCCUGUUAAGUCAGGUAACGAGCGAGACCCCUGCGUCUAGUUGCUACCAUUACUCUCUGGAGUAGUGGAGCGAAUUAGACGGACCGCCACAGUUAAUGUGGAGGAAGGAAGGGGCCACGGCAGGUCAGUAUGCCCCGAAACCCUGGGGCCACACGCGGGCUGCAAUGGUAUUGACAAUGUGUUCCGAAUCCGAAAGGAGGAGGCAAUCAUCAAACGAUACCUCAGUUAUGACUGAGGGCUG